GCAGGAGUGGGAAUUAGCUUAGUAGGGUGGGGUUACCGGUCACCUAGCGACGAUUCUUAGCUGUUUCUGAGAGGAUGACAGGCAACCUUUGACCUGGAGACACGGUUCAGAUCUACGGGAGGCAGCAGUGGGGAUUUUGCACAAUUGGGCGCAAGCCUGAUGCAGCAUUGCCGCGUGUGUGAAGAAGCUUUCGGGUUGUAAAGCACUUUCAGCGGGGAGGAAAGGCGAUAAGGUUAAUAACCUUGUCGAUUGACGUUACCCGCAGAAGAAGCACCGGCUAACUCCGUGCCAGCAGCUGCGGUAAUACGGAGGGUGCAAGCGUUAAUCGGAAUUACUGGGCGUAAAGCGCACGCAGGCGGUCUGUCAAGUCGGAUGUGAAAUCCCCGGGCUCAACCUGGGAACUGCAUUCGAAACUGGCAGGCUAGAGUCUUGUAGAGGGGGGUAGAAUUCCAGGUGUAGCGGUGAAAUGCGUAGAGAUCUGGAGGAAUACCGGUGGCGAAGGCGGCCCCCUGGACAAAGACUGACGCUCAGGUGCGAAAGCGUGGGGAGCAAACAGGAUUAGAUACCCUGGUAGUCCACGCCGUAAACGAUGUCGAUUUGGAGGUUGUGCCCUUGAGGCGUGGCUUCCGGAGCUAACGCGUUAAAUCGACCGCCUGGGGAGUACGGCCGCAAGGUUAAAACUCAAAUGAAUUGACGGGGGCCCGCACAAGCGGUGGAGCAUGUGGUUUAAUUCGAUGCAACGCGAAGAACCUUACCUGGUCUUGACAUCCACAGAACUUUCCAGAGAUGGAUUGGUGCCUUCGGGAACUGUGAGACAGGUGCUGCAUGGCUGUCGUCAGCUCGUGUUGUGAAAUGUUGGGUUAAGUCCCGCAACGAGCGCAACCCUUAUCCUUUGUUGCCAGCGGUUAGGCCGGGAACUCAAAGGAGACUGCCAGUGAUAAACUGGAGGAAGGUGGGGAUGACGUCAAGUCAUCAUGGCCCUUACGACCAGGGCUACACACGUGCUACAAUGGCAUAUACAAAGAGAAGCGACCUCGCGAGAGCAAGCGGACCUCAUAAAGUAUGUCGUAGUCCGGAUUGGAGUCUGCAACUCGACUCCAUGAAGUCGGAAUCGCUAGUAAUCGUAGAUCAGAAUGCUACGGUGAAUACGUUCCCGGGCCUUGUACACACCGCCCGUCACACCAUGGGAGUGGGUUGCAAAAGAAGUAGGUAGCUUAACCUUCGGGAGGGCGCUACCACUUGGAUCAUCCAAA
rnacentral:rRNA from 1 species